rnacentral:rRNA from 1 species
AACGAACGCUGGCGGCAUGCCUAACACAUGCAAGUCGAACGAGACCUCCGGGUCUAGUGGCGCACGGGUGCGUCACGCGUGGGAACCUGCCCUUAGGUUUGGAAUAACUCCCCGAAAGGGGUGCUAAUACCGGAUAAUGUCUUCGGACCAAAGAUUUAUCGCCUUUGGUUGGGCCCGCGUUGGAUUAGCUAGUUGGUAGGGUAAAAGCCUACCAAGGCGACGAUCCAUAGCUGGUCUGAGAGGAUGAUCAGCCACACUGGGACUGAGACACGGCCCAGACUCCUACGGGAGGCAGCAGUGGGUAAUAUUGGACAAUGGGCGAAAGGAUGAACCAGCAAUGCCGCGUGAGUGAUGAAGGCCUUAGGGUAGUAAAGCGCUUUUACCCGGGAUGAUAAUGACAGUACCGGGAGAAUAAGCUCCGGCUAACUCCGUG